rfam:Xenopus laevis strain J chromosome 4L, whole genome shotgun sequence.
GGCCCCAUAGCUCAGUGGUAAAAGCACUGGUCUUGUAAAUCAGGGAUUGUGAGUUCAAUUCUUGCUGGGGUCU